GACGAACGCGGCGGCGUGCUUAACACAUGCAAGUCGAACGGAGCGAAUGAAAGCUUGCUUUUAUAAGCUUAGUGGCAAACGGGUGAGUAACACGUAGGCAACCUGCCGACAGGAUGGGGACAACAUUCCGAAAGGAAUGCUAAUACCGAAUGAAGUCGAGGGAGGGCAUCCUCCUCCGAUGAAAGAUGGCCUCUAUAUAUAAGCUAUCACCUGUCGAUGGGCCUGCGUCUGAUUAGCUGGUAGGUGAGGUAACGGCUCACCUAGGCGACGAUCAGUAGCCGGUCUGAGAGGAUGAACGGCCACAUUGGGACUGAGACACGGCCCAGACUCCUACGGGAGGCAGCAGUGGGGAAUCUUCCGCAAUGGGCGCAAGCCUGACGGAGCAACGCCGCGUGAGUGAAGAAGGUCUUCGGAUCGUAAAGCUCUGUUGAUGGGGACGAACGUGCCUAAUGCGAAUAGUAUUAGUAAUGACG
rnacentral:rRNA from 1 species